GGCGUCCAGUGCAUCUCCGCACCCUCAUUGCGACAUCGCUCUGGAUGAUGAUCAGACAUCCUCCCUCCGGGAGCCACUGCUUUGGCAAAACAGCCCCGCAAAGUGGUGUGAGGCCUGUCUGUUCACAUGCACAUGGCUGCCGUGUCUCAGUGGUACCUGGGAAAGGAGCAAGUCUUCAUCUCCUGCAUGGAUGCAGGUGGCAGAGACUUUCUACUGGUUCCCAGGUCGCAGAGGAGAGCAGGGGAUUGGGAAGGGUCGUGGGCGCCCUGUGAAGCAGCCUUACAGAUAAGUAUCCCCUCACUAGUCCCCGGGGCGCCAGCCUGCUCUCUGCUGGUGCAUGAGCAAAGGAGGGCUGGCCCUGGAACCCCAAGAGGGAGGGCGGAUGUCUGGUGGAUGGCUCUGGCUCUUGGGGAUGGCAUUUGUAAUCUUGGGUGGGCUCCUUGGUCUUCCACAUACACAGAGGCCUCCGCAGUGUUUCCCACAGGACACGUUGCUUCUCUCUGCUCCAGGUUCUUGUGGCAGCAGGCUGAGAGUGUGCUACGAGAUGCCUCCCCUUCCUUGGAUCAGGCUCUGGAAGACAGAUGUAGUACAAUUAUCAGGAAAGAGCAAAUCUGAGCCCUGGGUUGAGAGUCAGGGUGUCUCUUCAGUCCUGGUGACUUACAGUGGCCUGGAUGAGUCCUGUACCUCCCUCUGACUCCAGACAUGUUCUCUGCUGUGGUCCAGGAAGGCUGGGGAUUGAGGUGGACAGAAGGGCUGCUUUCAUUCCCAGCCAUUGCCUUGAAUGUCUAUUGUAGUGCCUUGUAUGGCAAAGCAGGAUGUGUCUCAGGGUCCAGAGAGAGGGAUAGGCUUCCAGCAAUGGCAGCAGUACUGAGGUCAGAGCUCCAGGCCCCUACUCUGUCCGGACUCCCCCUCUGCUGGCCCUAAGUUGCCCAGCUUGCUCUGAGUUUUCCUGGAUCACUGAGGAAACCACAGUGUCCAUGUUUGUGAAGGAUGCUCUGGGUGGCAGGGAAGGAGGAGGCAGGUGGCUCUUGGACCAAAGCAGGGCAUGGGCGUGGUCCUCACCUGGGCCAGGAUUGGCUCUUCUGUCUUCCAGAGUCAUGCUGUGAUGUCCCUGUGGGGGAGGCGCUAGGCCUGUGAUGAUGUCAAGGAUGUCAGGUCGUGCUGGGUAUCCAGAGGAGAAUGACAGAGACGUGGUCCUACUCUCUGAGAUCUUCAGUAAGAAAACAUCACCACAGCUCAGCAAGGGGAUGUCUCCAGACCCUGGUCUGCUUUGGAGCCCUGGAUUUUGACCUCAUGGAAUGGGGAAGAACCUGUCUCCCUGAAGAUGCUGUCCUUUUCAAUGCCAGAAAUGGAGCCCCCUGGAGAAGAGCCAUUCUGGAAGAUACAUUACUUAGCAUCCACCCUGCCUUUGAUGAACAGAUCCAGGGUGGGAGAGUGGGAGAGGGCACUGGAGGCCCUUUCUGAUCCCAUGUGGACUGGAAUCUUCCUCCAGUGUCUGGAGGUGGGGUGGAGCUAAGCCCCCUCCUAAGGACUUGUGGGUAGGGCAGGGACUUAUGGGCAUGGAGGAGGAGCUGCUGGGGAGGAGCCUGAUGUCCGUCUUUUGUCUGUUUUUCUUUUCGUCUGUUUGCUGCUUGAAUGAUGGUUCUGUUUGGGUGCUUCCUGGGUGAGGCUUAGCUACCUGCUGGUUGUGGUGAGAGAAUUGCCAGUCCUGGCCUGGGAGGAGCCUGGCUAGUCUCUGUGCAGUCAGCAGGGGACCCUAGAAAGAGAAAGGGUGAGUCCUGAGAUAAGGAGACCCAGUAGGGAGGCUUACCGGCAGCCAUAUAUCUCCAGCUUCCUCAGUCACUAGAGUGGACUAUACCCUGCAGGGGCUACGGAGCCUUUGCCCAGGAGACAGGGCUGCCCAGACAUCACCUCCAUCUGUGUCCAGUAGCUACUGAGGGACUGAGGCUGGCAGACACCUGCACCCCUUCUCAGGGUGAGGGAGAAAGCCUUCUCCCUGGGGCAAGAGGGGCUGUGGGGCUUGGCAACAGAGACUCACACCCCAAUACUUGAGGCCCUCAGAGCAAGAUCAAGGUGCCAGAAGUAGCUUUAUGUUCUCAUGUGGCCUUUCCCUGUGUCCAGAGUGAGUGGGCUCCUGGGAUUUGUCCCACAAGGGCACAGUCAUUUGAGGACCUAGGCUUAAGACCUCACCUGAGCUUAGGCACACUUUGUCUCUCCAUACCUUCACAUUGGGGCUGGGGAAUCCAGCCUGUGCCUCUUCGGGGACACAGUUUGGACUCUGACAGGGUUGUUUCACAAACAUAAGUAGCUAGAGAAUAGAAUUCCCAUAUUGGGAGGAACCGAUGGCCCAUAGUUGCGGCUGCUGUGCCUGGUGUCUUGGGAACAUGGUGGCUGUAGCCAGUGCAGAGCCAGCUCAGGUCUUGGGGCACCCUCUGCUAUACAAAUCACCUUGCUCUACCAGCCUCCAUUUCCACUUUGUCAUGUGGGCCAUAUGCUCUCCUGGUGGCCCCGGCAGCUUUCCAAGGGCUCCUGUGCCUGGUGUUCCAUACAAUCAUGUCCAUGUGGAAAUUUGGGGAGGUUAGGUUGAGGGCCCAUCUGGGUAGAUAGGGGGCUUUCUGACCCAGAGGCAUUGCUGCUUGGGUCACCCGUGUCUGUCUUCCUGACAAGCCUGGGGCUGCGGCUGCUGUUGGUCUCUCUGGUAGAUUUCCAUGUUUUCCAGAAGGGAAGGAACUCUGUUUCCUGCUGCCAAUAUGGAGUCCACACUGGUUCUUUGCUGUGAGCCAGUGUGGGAACCUGGUGCUGUCCAGCCAUGCUUUAGACACUGGGGAUUUCCUAGUCAGCAGGGAGAGAAACAGUGCCCAGGAAGGGGUAGAUGAUGGGCAGUCAACAGAGGCCCCAAAAGGGAGAGACCGCAGCUCUGGCACUCUGGAGGGGUUUCCUACUCAGGCUGACCCAACCAGGGCCUUGGAGGCUGAGAAAGGUACGGUUUAACUGAGUACCCUUGGGAAGAAAUUAAAGCAAAAAAGCGGGAUUUUUCAGAGCCCAGAAAACGCUAGUGAGCAAGCUUCAGAUACUCAGGGAGGGAUAGGA